UACGUAGGCAGCGAGCGUUGUUCGGAGUUACUGGGCGUAAAGGGUGUGUAGGCGGUUGUUUAAGUUUGGUGUGAAAUCUCCCGGCUCAACUGGGAGGGUGCGCCGAAUACUGAAUGACUUGGAGUGCGGGAGAGGAAAGUGGAAUUCCUGGUGUAGCGGUGAAAUGCGUAGAUAUCAGGAGGAACACCGGUGGUGUAGACGGCUUACUGGACCAUGACUGACGCUGAGGCACGAAAGCGUGGGGAGCAAACAGG
rnacentral:rRNA from 1 species